rnacentral:rRNA from 1 species
AUAUCAAUAAGCGGAGGAAAAGAAACCAACAGGGAUUGCCUUAGUAACGGCGAGUGAAGCGGCAACAGCUCAAAUUUGAAAUCUGGCGCUUUCAGCGUCCGAGUUGUAAUUUGGAGAGGAUGCUUCGGGACUGGCCCCCGUCUAAGUGCCCUGGAACGGGCCGUCAUAGAGGGUGAGAAUCCCGUCUGGGAUGGGUGGCCUGGCCCGUGUGAAGCUCCUUCGACGAGUCGAGUUGUUUGGGAAUGCAGCUCUAAAUGGGUGGUAAAUUUCAUCUAAAGCUAAAUAUUGGCCGGAGACCGAUAGCGCACAAGUA